rnacentral:rRNA from 1 species
AACGAACGCUGGCGGCAGGCUUAACACAUGCAAGUCGAGCGCCCCGCAAGGGGAGCGGCAGACGGGUGAGUAACGCGUGGGAACGUACCUUUUGGUUCGGAACAACUCCGGGAAACUGGAGCUAAUACCGGAUAAGCCCUAACGGGGAAAGAUUUAUCGCCGAAAGAUCGGCCCGCGUCUGAUUAGCUAGUUGGUGAGGUAACGGCACACCAAGGCGACGAUCAGUAGCUGGUCUGAGAGGAUGAUCAGCCACACUGGGACUGAGACACGGCCCAGACUCCUACGGGAGGCAGCAGUGGGGAAUAUUGGACAAGGGGCGCAAGCCUGAUCCAGCCAUGCCGCGUGAGUGAUGAAGGCCUUAGGAUUGUAAAGCUCUUUUGUCCGGGAAGAUAAUGACUGUACCGGAAGAAUAAGCCCCGGCUAACUUCGUG